GACGUAGGAGGCGAGCGUUGUCCGGAUUCAUUGGGCGUAAAGAGCGCGCAGGCGGCUUGGUAAGUCGGAUGUGAAAUCCCGAGGCUCAACCUCGAGUCUGCAUCCGAUACUGCCCGGCUAGAGGUAGGUAGGGGAGAUCGGAAUUCCUGGUGUAGCGGUGAAAUGCGCAGAUAUCAGGAGGAACACCGGUGGCGAAGGCGGAUCUCUGGGCCUUACCUGACGCUCAGGCGCGAAAGCUAGGGGAGCGAACUGG
rnacentral:rRNA from 1 species